rnacentral:rRNA from 1 species
GGAAAGGGGGGAAGGGGGGGCGGGGUAAUAAGUAGGGGGAGAGCGGUACGAGGAAGUAUGGGGCGUAAAGGGUGGGUAGGGGGUGUGUGAAGUUCGUGGUGAAAGCCCCGGGGUGAACCGGGGAAUGGCAGUGGAUACUGGGAGGCUGGAGGGCGGUAGAGGGUAGUGGAAUUCCCGGGGUAGCGGUGAAAUGCGUAGAGAUCGGGAGGAACACCAGUGGCGAAGGUGACUACCUGGACCAGCACUGACACUGAGGCACGAAAGCGUGGGGAGCAAACAGGAUUAGAUACCCGAGUAGUC